rnacentral:lncRNA from 1 species
CAGAGCUUGACUAGGACACUUUUUGGUCUAUCCGUUUCCUGAAUUCAAUUGAUCUUCAGCAAGGCUUCUUUGCAUUCUUCUCACAAUAUCUAAAUGCUAUCCACUGUGACACAAAAUAAGCUCACUCCUCCAGAACCAGAAAAGAAAGGAAGAAAUUAAUCCACUGCUGUGUUAUAAAAUAGUUAACUCUCCUAUGCACACAGGACACUUGCAUAAAACCAUCAAACUGAGCAUUGGAAAUGCAAACAACCCAACGGUGUCACUGCUUUGUAAUGUAAUCAUUCUACCAUAUACUUUCAUAUUCCUUCCUCUGAUACCCCAUCUACUACAAGUUAAGUGACUAUAUGAGAACAUCAAGCCCCAUUAAUUUCUACAGUCUCUGCCUUCAUAGCUGAAUAAACACCUCAAAUUACGACAUGAAUACAACUUAAGGGGUGAAAGUCAGAAAUAAAUGACCAUGAAGUGUAACUUGAGAUUUUUAGAAUGGUCUUGAGACUUGAGAAUUUACAUUUUUCAAGUGCUCAGAUGUUGAAAUGUGUUAACAUAAAGGCUUUCUUUUACUUCCUAGAUACCAGCUUAACUUCCCUCUCUUGCAGCUCUCAGAGCUCCAACUAUUUAUCCAUAAACACAUCAGCAUUCCAGCUACUGCUACUCACAUCAGAUUAUAUCCCCAGUUUCUUGCAUAUGAAGACACAUGGCCAAUAUUACUUCCCAGUGAACAGGAGAAAUAGUUUGCAAAGGCAAGAAGGUGAGAAUCCUUUCACAAUUUAUGCUCUGGUUAAUUUUAACUUAGCUCUAGGAGACAAAGCUAGAGAAUGAUGUUUACCAUUACUAUCAUCCUGCACCUGUGUAGGGACAAUUUCAAACAUGAGUACAGCAAUACAGGCUGGGAACAGAGUAGAUUAAGAGCAGCAUUGUAGAGAAGAAGGACUUGGGAUUCCAAUUGAUAGGAAACUCAGAAAUGUGCACUUACAGCCCGAAAGACUAAUUGUAUCCUGGGCAACAUCAAAAGAAGGAUGACUAGCAGGGCAAGAGAGAAAAGUUAAGCAGAAUAUUUCCACAAAAGCACUUUCCUUUUUCCCCCCUACUCUGUUUUACACCCAGAAAAUUGUACUGACCAAGACAAAUCUCAAAUUUCUGCGUGGCUUCUUCUUACUGCAUAUCACAAAGCUGCAAGAGCACAAUGUGAAAACAAGCAUUUCCCUGGCCCUUCCACAGAAGUUCUGGCUCGUGCUUUACAUCCUCUACAGAAAAAGUUCACCAAGUCCAUG